rnacentral:tmRNA from 1 species
GGGGGUGUCCUGGCUUCGACGGGGGUAGUGAGAUGGCUUGAUGCAUGCCGAGGGGGCAGCUUUCCUCGUUAAUCCAGCUAAGGCGUAAGCCCCGAACCCACUUGUGCUCGUGCUCGUCGGUGUAGGGUCAUUAUCACGGGAUCGCCAAAGACUGCCGCCUGUCGGUCCUAGGUCAAAUCAAGCAGGCUGGUUUCGCGGUGCGCUUUGCUCAUCGUGCUUGUCGCGGAACGAGAUGGAACGUUGAGCUACGCAUGUAGAUUCAGGCGUUGAACACCUUCGGACGCGGGUUCGACUCCCGCCACCUCCACCA